GUGCUGUUCGCGGGCGACGAGACCGAGAAGUCCCUUCCCCCGUAGGCCGCGUGUCUCGCGCUGCAGCCGGUUGUCGUUGUCUCGCGCUAAAAGUUCGGAGAAUCUUUCAGUAGAGGGAGUCGAGGGCCACAACUCAACGAGAAGGCAGACAAAAGGGGCCGGACGCCGGAGGUAUGUGCAGUUUUUCCCCGCUUUUUUUUUGCACUUGACGCCCAACAGACGAGUCACACCGAGGAAGAAAGACUACGUGCCGUUCGUGCUGUUCUGGGAAAAAGAAGCAAACGGCGUAGUCGAAAAGCUCGUGGGGUAAUGCCCUUCCUCUAGUCUACGAUUUAAAACUUGCACGGGAUGUUACCUCGGCAAGGAUACGCUUGACUGGAGGGUUCCUUACUUCCCGACGGUCUUUUAACGCGUCUGAUGUACACCGUUUCAGUCGCCCAAGCAAACGACUUUUUGCCCUCUGGAACAUGUGCCUUUUGGUCAAUUAAUCUAACACUUUACUCUGUGCCUUCGAGCUUUGUUCAGGACCAAGGAAGCCACGGAUGAGGGGCACUGUGCACCGUGCCAGUCACGGUCGAUUGGCGCAUUUCCUGAGCAAAAUUUUCAGGAAUAAGUUCUGUUUUCUACUGCUUCUGUGAAGAGGGCAGAAUUUUUGGCUUCGGCAGAAAGUUAUUGUAGGCUGUUCCGUGUUCAUGAUAUAUGUGCUUGCUACGACACCGGUACUGAAAAAGACUGCUUGUGCCGUUCGUCGGUUCUCUUCGUCAUAGCUGUGAGCUGAGCCAUGGUGCUUCAGGGCUGCAAAGAUAUCCACGUCGGUAGAGUUAGAUGGAAUGGCACCUAGGUUGAGUGAUAGGAGUACAAAAUUGCCCGCAUGCGUCGGUACUACCCAGCAGUCGACGACAUACCAGUGUACGUUUCUGCAUCCCACACACACAAUG
rnacentral:lncRNA from 1 species